rnacentral:rRNA from 1 species
UACGUAGGGGGCAAGCGUUAUCCGGAUUUACUGGGUGUAAAGGGAGCGUAGACGGCUGUGCAAGUCUGAAGUGAAAGGCAAGGGCUCAACCUUUGGACUGCUUUGGAAACUGUGCAGCUAGAGUGUCGGAGAGGCAAGUGGAAUUCCUAGUGUAGCGGUGAAAUGCGUAGAUAUUAGGAGGAACACCAGUGGCGAAGGCGGCCGCCUGGCCUGUUAACUGACGCUGAGGCACGAAAGCGUGGGGAGCAAAUAGG